rnacentral:misc_RNA from 1 species
CCUCAUUAGUUCCUCUAUCUCCGUCGAUUAGAUUUCUAAGAAAAGCCAUGCCCUCCAUCGGUAGUAUGGCCUGCUGAGUCGAGGCGACUUCGUCAGGCUCCGCAGCAUUUUUGGUUUCUUCUGCGAUCUUCGUUGAUUCCAGAUUUAGCAAGUUCAAAACAUACGACGAAAUACAGCGUCGCAUCUUUGUUUCAAAAUCCCGAAGGUUGUUGAAAACCCUCAAAAUAAAGUUGUUUCUCCGCUACAAUCUUUUCGCGGAAGCCAAUCACUCUCUUCAAGCUUUCGCCUGGAUCAAGCGCGAGAGAUUGAUCCACAUGC